AAUGAGGUUGAAUCUGGAAGCAUUCAUUUCCUUCAGAAGCUUCUGAUAUAUGAUGUCUUUGGUGAACCUGAGACACUUCCUAGAGUUGGAGAUGAGUGCCAGGUUGAAAUUCCUCCUCUAGCAGCUAUAUCUUACUUUAUGAACAACUUAAUUAAUGCAAAAAUCACUGGUGAUGGCCCCUAUAAUUUUCUAAUGGGGUUGCCUUACCAGUAAUGUGGAUCAAUCAGGAAGUUGAGAGCAAAGAGCAUGAGUCUGAGGCUUUUGAUGUUGUAGUUAAUGCAUCCAAUAAAGAGUCUAAAAAAUCUGAACAUGUCAGGAAAAACUCUGGUUGUCUAGAAAGUGACAACUUAAAACCCAAUUCUGAUCCAAGAAUAGUAAGUCAGAUCAUGGGACAAUUCAGAUGACUCGGCAAAGUUAGCUUGGAAACAAGAAAAGAUGACUGAAAUGCAUCCGAAGUGUAGUAGAAUAGUGUACUUUCUGGUUCGUUCCUGGAUCCUUGGGUGACAACUGGAGUGACAUAGAAAAAGUUAGUUUUCUUCUUGGUUUUUAUGUAUCUUUGGGAAAAACCUCAUUCAGGUGAAGAAUGUUGUUGAGAGUAAACAGAUGGGACAUGUAUUAUCAUUCCACUACGGAAAAUUUUACAGGUCUCACAGAUACAUCAGAUGGGCGAAAUGCCAGAAAUUGAGAAGUAGAAGAUGUAAAUUUGGACCAAGAAUAUUUUCAGGAUUAAGGCAACAGGAGUUGUUAUCUCGUUUGCUCCCUCACAUGGCAGAAGAAUGUCAAAAUACUUUACUUGAGGCUUUGUUCACUUUCUUCCAAGCUCAUCAAGAGAGACCAUCAAGAUCCUGAAGGAAAAAGAUGACCAAGGGGCAAAGAUGGUUAUUGAGCGUGACCAAGCUGAACAGGAUAGGCACAAGGCUACUGCAGCCAAGACGUAGCUCCGUCUCAUCCAAGAACAACUGGCCAAAACGCAAGGAUCUUGUUGAGGCGAAAGCCAAGUUCACCAGGUUCAGCUCGGAGCUGGAUCAUGCUCAGGGAGGGAGAGCGGGCAGCGGUUGAGAUGAGUAGAGCAACUCAAAGUAGAGGCACAGAAGAGUGGGAGCACAUCCACGCAAUCUUGAACUCAAAGUAGAGGCCAAGAAGCGCGGCUACAUGAUGUGCAUGUGUAAUGCAUGGAUGCAUGGAUCCAUUAUUCCAUGUUAUCGUUGUGUUAGUGUGUAAAUUAUAUUUUGUCGAACGCUUUGUGCAAUGCAAAUAGCUUUUCCUUAACGAGAAAGAGGCUCUAACAGUAAUUUUACAGAUAUUUAGAAUAUCCUAAUACUCAAUAACGUAAACAACUAAAUAAAUAAAAACCCCUUAUUUCUUGCAAAAA